rnacentral:rRNA from 1 species
AAUCUUGCGCAAUGGCCGAAAGGCUGACGCAGCGACGCCGCGUGCGGGAGGACGCCCCUCGGGGUGUAAACCGCUGUCAGGAGGGAGGAAGGGCCGGGGGAGGCAAUGCCCCUAUGGCUUGACAGUACCUCCAGAGGAAGCACCGGCUAACUCCGUGCCAGCAGCCGCGGUAAUACGGAGGGUGCGAGCGUUGUCCGGAAUCACUGGGCGUAAAGGGCGCGUAGGCGGUGGGAUAAGCGUGUGGUGAAAGCCCGGGGCUCAACCCCGGGUCUGCCGUGCGAACUGUUUCACUUGAGCACUGUAGAGGCAGGUGGAAUUCCGGGUGUAGCGGUGGAAUGCGUAGAGAUCCGGAAGAACACCGGUGGCGAAGGCGGCCUGCUGGGCAGUGGCUGACGCUGAGGCGCGACAGCGUGGGGAGCAAACA